GCGGUAGCACAGAGAGCUUGCUCUCGGGUGACGAGCGGCGGACGGGUGAGUAAUGUCUGGGAAACUGCCUGAUGGAGGGGGAUAACUACUGGAAACGGUAGCUAAUACCGCAUAACGUCGCAAGACCAAAGAGGGGGACCUUCGGGCCUCUUGCCAUCAGAUGUGCCCAGAUGGGAUUAGCUAGUAGGUGGGGUAAUGGCUCACCUAGGCGACGAUCCCUAGCUGGUCUGAGAGGAUGACCAGCCACACUGGAACUGAGACACGGUCCAGACUCCUACGGGAGGCAGCAGUGGGGAAUAUUGCACAAUGGGCGCAAGCCUGAUGCAGCCAUGCCGCGUGUAUGAAGAAGGCCUUCGGGUUGUAAAGUACUUUCAGCGAGGAGGAAGGCAUUGUGGUUAAUAACCGCAGUGAUUGACGUUACUCGCAGAAAAAGCACCGGCUAACUCCGUGCCAGCAGCCGCGGUAAUACGGAGGGUGCAAGCGUUAAUCGGAAUUACUGGGCGUAAAGCGCACGCAGGCGGUCUGUCAAGUCGGAUGUGAAAUCCCCGGGCUCAACCUGGGAACUGCAUUCGAAACUGGCAGGCUAGAGUCUUGUAGAGGGGGGUAGAAUUCCAGGUGUAGCGGUGAAAUGCGUAGAGAUCUGGAGGAAUACCGGUGGCGAAGGCGGCCCCCUGGACAAAGACUGACGCUCAGGUGCGAAAGCGUGUGGAGCAAACAGGAUUAGAUACCCUGGUAGUCCACGCCGUAAACGAUGUCGACUUGGAGGUUGUUCCCUUGAGGAGUGGCUUCCGGAGCUAACGCGUUAAGUCGACCGCCUGGGGAGUACGGCCGCAAGGUUAAAACUCAAAUGAAUUGACGGGGGCCCGCACAAGCGGUGGAGCAUGUGGUUUAAUUCGAUGCAACGCGAAGAACCUUACCUACUCUUGACAUCCAGGGAAUUUAGCAGAGAUGCUUUGGUGCCUUCGGGAACCGUGAGACAGGUGCUGCAUGGCUGUCGUCAGCUCGUGUUGUGAAAUGUUGGGUUAAGUCCCGCAACGAGCGCAACCCUUAUCCUUUGUUGCCAGCGGUUCGGCCGGGAACUCAAAGGAGACUGCCAGUGAUAAACUGGAGGAAGGUGGGGAUGACGUCAAGUCAUCAUGGCCCUUACGAGUAGGGCUACACACGUGCUACAAUGGCGUAUACAAAGAGAAGCGACCUCGCGAGAGCAAGCGGACCUCAUAAAGUACGUCGUAGUCCGGAUUGGAGUCUGCAACUCGACUCCAUGAAGUCGGAAUCGCUAGUAAUCGUAGAUCAGAAUGCUACGGUGAAUACGUUCCCGGGCCUUGUACACACCGCCCGUCACACCAUGGGAGUGGGUUGCAAAAGAAGUAGGUAGCUUAACCUUCGGGAGGGCGCUUACCACUUUGUGAUUCAUGACUGGG
rnacentral:rRNA from 1 species